rnacentral:tRNA from 2 species
GGGGGUGUAGCUCAGUUGGCUAGAGCGCAUCGUUCGCAACGAUGAGGUCGUGGGUUCGAUUCCCAUCACCUCCACCC